GGAUGACCUAGUUGAUCGAAACCCCAGGAACUGGGUAAGAAUAGUAUACGAACAGCCUACCCACCCAUCUCAAGCUCCCGUCCCUCUUUCGCCUUCACCAUCUCUCCCAAUUUUUUAAUCAUUUUUUCCCAAAUUUUCCUUCAAUUCAAUCGAUUUGAAUCCAAAACCCUAAACCCAAUCCCCAAUUCCACUCAAAUUUGAACCGGAUUCUAGGGUUUCUCUGCCAUUCUGAAAACCCUAAUUAAAACUUGCCAUUUUUGUCUCUCACUCCAUUGGCUAGAGCUAAAGGUUGAAUAUUGCUGAAGAUCCACCAGAGCUCACUUUCUCAGCAGUACACGACUAUGUGAAAGUCUCACUCUUUCAGGAAUACAGCACUGUCAGUGUGAGGUUGGGGGCUUGAGAUAAUUCUAUUGGAAUUGAUCUGAAACAGUUUGAAACUUUGACAUGGAUAACGAGGUGAUUGAAUUUGAUAUUGGGUUGGGAGGAGGGGGAGGCCGAGAUGGGGACGAUGAUUUUGUAGACAUUGAGCAUCCUGUUGAUGAUGAGGAAAUGGUUGAUAGUCCUCUUAUGGGAAGUGCCACUGGCAGUGGCAGUGGUAUUGUUUUCGGUGGUGGUGAAAUUUACUUGCCUGAGGGGGAUCUCUUGGACCUUGAGCCAUAUGAUGGCAUGGAAUUUGAGUCUGAAGAGGCUGCCAAGGCCUUUUACAAUUCGUAUGCGCGGCGUGUUGGGUUCAGUACUCGUGUCAGUUCCUCACGUCGUUCCAGGCGCGAUGGAGCAAUCAUACAGAGGCAGUUUGUUUGUGCUAAAGAGGGUUUCCGGAAUUUGAAUGAGAAGCGCACCAAGGAUAGGGAGAUCAAGCGCCCUCGGACUAUCACUAGAGUAGGGUGCAAAGCAUCCUUUUCUGUGAAGAUGCAAGAUUCGGGAAGAUGGGUGGUGUCUGGUUUUGUUAAGGAGCAUAAUCAUGAGUUGGUUCCGCCUGAUCAGGUGCAUUGUCUUCGUUCUCACAGGCAAAUAUCCGGUCCUGCUAAGACUUUGAUUGAUACCUUGCAGGCUGCUGGAAUGGGCCCCAGGAGGAUUAUGUCAGCGCUGAUUAAGGAAUAUGGUGGGAUAAGCAAAGUCGGAUUUACAGAGGUAGACUGUAGGAAUUACAUGAGGAAUAAUCGCCAGAAGAGCUUAGAUGGGGACAUUCAGAUGCUUUUGGAUUACUUGAGACAAAUGCAAGCUGAUAACCAGAACUUUUUCUAUGCCGUGCGGGGCGAUGACGAUAAGUCCAUGGGAAAUGUCAUUUGGGCUGAUCCAAAGGCAAGGAUCAACUAUAGUUACUUUGGUGAUACUGUUACUUUUGACACUACCUACAGGUCUAACAGGUACCGCUUGCCCUUUGCACCUUUCACAGGGGUGAACCAUCACGGACAGCCUGUUUUGUUUGGUUGUGCCUUUCUGAUAAAUGAAUCUGAAGCAUCAUUCGUUUGGCUGUUCAAAACAUGGCUUAUGGCAAUGUCAGGCUGCCCCCCAGUGUCAAUUACCACUGAUCAUGAUCCCGUGAUACAGUCAGCCAUCAAGCAGGUUUUCCCACAGACCCGGCACCGUUUCUGCAAAUGGCACGUCUUUAAGAAAUGCCAGGAGAAGCUAUCCCAUGUGUUUCUUAAACAUCCAACUUUUGAAGCAGACUUUCACAAGUGUGUUAAUUUGACUGAGUCCAUAGAAGAAUUUGAGUCUUACUGGUUGUCUCUUGUUGAUAAAUACAGUCUCAGAGAUCAUGAAUGGAUUCAAAUGGUAUACUCUGCUCGCAGGCAGUGGGUCCCUGUUUAUCUGCGGGACACUUUUUUUGCAGAAAUGUCCAUUACCCAAAGAAGUGACAGUAUGAACUCAUAUUUUGAUGGAUAUGUGAAUGCUUCAACAAAUUUGAGCCAAUUCUUUAAGCUUUAUGAGAAAGCUCUAGAGAGUCGAAAUGAGAAGGAAGUGAAAGCAGACUUUGAAACUAUGAACACUGCCCCGGUUUUGAAAACCCCAUCUCCAAUGGAAAAGCAAGUAUCUGAGCUUUACACAAAAAAGAUAUUUAUGAGGUUUCAAGAGGAGCUAGUUGGAACACUAACUUUCACGGCAUCUAAGGGUGAUGAUGAUGGGGAGAUCAUCACAUAUCAAGUAGCAAAGUUUGGGGAAGACCAUAAAGCAUAUUAUGUUAAGCUCAAUGUUUUGGAGAUGAUGGCAACUUGUAGUUGCCAGAUGUUUGAGUUUUCUGGUCUUCUUUGCAGACAUGUAUUGGCAGUCUUUAGAGUGACCAAUGUGCUGACGCUCCCAUCCCAUUACAUAUUGAAACGAUGGACUAGAAAUGCCAAGAGCAACGUCAUGUUAGAAGAACGUUCUAGUGAUGUAUAUACCAAUUAUCUAGAAUCUCAUACUGUGCGGUACAAUACCCUACGUCAUGAGGCUUUUAAAUUUGUAGAUGGAGCAAGGUCUUCAGAAACUUAUGACAUCGCAGUGGAAGCUUUGAAGGAAGCUGCAAAAAAAGUAGCUCAUGCCAUAAAGAAUGAGGGGAAAGCCAUGCUCAAUGGGCAUGUCAGGGGGAGUUUGGCUGGUGGAGCAAGUCGGGCAGCACGUUGUGCUAGUGGGGAUCAUGAAGGAAGCUCUGGACAACAUUUGUCUGAGGAUGACAUGGACAAAAAAAUCCGAGAACUUACGAACGAGCUGGAGUGCGCAAAGCGGAAAUGUGAAGUUUACCGGGCUAACCUGCGUUCAGUUUUGAAAGAUAUAGAGGAUCAUAAGUUACAGUUGUCAAUUAAAGUACAAAACAUUAAAAUUGGCAUGAAAGACGGCCUAAUCCUAUAAAGUCAGCAACGGUAACUUUGUAGGAGGAAAAAAUCGUUGUAUGAAGGGUUGCACAAGAAGACAGAUAUCAGAGCUGAAAGGUUCAUCAGGGUAUGGAAAUGCUUUGGUAGCUUUUUUUUCAUUGUGUGUGUGUAUAUAUACUCUCUCAUUUGUCUAUUGGUUGCAGUCGAAGGUAAUAAUAACAUGUUAUUUUCUGUGCCGUCGAAUAACACCUUCAAUUUUAAGUUUUCAUAUAAGCUUGUAGGGAAAUUCAUCCUUGAGUUGACAAGUCAUCUUCUACUCAUCCUUGCAAAUUGGCUGUGAACAGAAUCCAUUGACCGCAGUUUCUGUUAGAAAGCUAUCACCUUUCUUUCGCAUUGAGAGCAGUACGGUGCAGUAUGACACCGAAACUGAAAGCUUGAGUUCGGGUGGCUGGGAAAGUGAGGAUGGAAUGUUAUGUUCUUCCAUCCUAAAAACAACCAAGUGUUACUCCAACCGAGUUCGAGCAUUGUUGGAGGAGCCUCGAGGGGGUUCGAACAAUGUUCGAUGGGAGAACUUUUGGUAAAGGCGUUAUUUGGUCGGGCAAGUGGGGUAAGUUACUAAAAAGUUGUCACGUUGACACGAGUGAUGUCGGAUGAAGAAGGUUUGACACACCUAAAAGGUGACGAAGUUAUUUUAUGCAUGAUGACUCGAGAGACAAAAUAUUACAGGUUAAUUCUUUAAACAAGAAAGAAAAGAAAAACACAAAUUUCUAUUGGGAAUUCGGCAUAACCUUCCCGGUUUUAAUACAAAUUACCUUACUUUACCCUGCAAGAAAAUAACAAAUCGUGGUCUAGUGUGUAACCCGAGCCCACCUAUGGCUCCACCCGUGGUGGUACAGUUUAGGUCGUGCCGCGUGGACAAGUUCAGCCCCAAGAUGGGGCAAUGGAUGGUUCUCGUCGGAUCUUUUUUGUGAAAAUUUUGUAAAUCUUUAAAUUACAUUCGUUUAUUGCACAUUAGGCAGUUAGAAAUUAUUAUAAUUUUUUUA